AAUCAAGUCAGGCCUCUCUCAUGGCGCAGGCACCUAGCUUGUGCAGAUACUUCCACUGUGAGUGUGUACCUCUUCUCACACUCUCACCUUCAACUUAUCUUUUUGCUUUUUGUCAAGAGCAAAAUACUAGGGUUAUUAUGUAUUAGGCUUUAAAGUAAGCUUCUCCCUCUUGGCCUCUGUGUUGGCCAGGAAGAGGAAGAUGACAGUAGUCAACAUUUCUUGCUGUUCAUUAUUCUCAUUCCUUUUUUCCCUUUCUUUCUUUUUACGGUCACACCUGUAGCAUAUGGAAGUUUCCAGGCUAGGGGUUGAAUCAGAGCUGCAACUGCUGGCCUACACCACAGUCACAGCAACGCCAGAUCCAAGCCACAACUGUGACCUACACCACAGCUCAAGGCAUUGCUGGAUCCUUAACCCACUGAGUGAGGCCAGGAAUGGAAGCCGAAUCCUCGCAGAAACAAGAGUGCCCAGGAUCCAAAGUGCUUUUGGCAAGGGCCCCAGAAGUGGAUGCUGAAGGAGGGGCCAAGGUCAAGUGUGUCAAAUCAUGUCCUUUCUAGGCUACCUCCUGGGCUGCCAGCAUUCAGUGGGACCUUCUUUGAAUACGGGAGCAAUUUGAUAUAUUAUUCAGCAAACAAUAUAAUAGAAUGUACAAAUGAGCAGUACUUUCCUCUCCAUUAUAAGAGUUGCUGGAUGUUUGAUGUCCUGCUGAUUUUAUCACCUGAUUGUCUCAGCCGGUUUCUGGUGUUGGGAAAGAGCAGACAAACUAUCAUUGAUUUAUCUAUCUACUGUGUGGGCCCCCACCCAAUUAACACAGAAGAAAGAAGCUUCAUGGAAUUAUAGCAAGUAAUGGACAAAGCGUGAAAGGUGAAUAAACACUGAUCAGACUCUGGGGCACAUCACUGGCAGUGAGGGGGUCUUUUCUUCCUUUAACUGGGUGAAACCUGUCAUCUUCUCCAUCUUUGCUCUACGCUCUUCUAUCCAUGGACUCUACAAUGUGUCUGGUUAGUAACAGCCAGCUACUCUGCCUCACACGUCAGUGGUACCAAAACCUGUAGAGACUUAAAUUUUCACUUUCUCUGCUUUUCUCCCAUUUAGGUAAAGGAAAGGGAGCACUAAAGAUUCACCAAUUUUGAAUAAUGUCACUUCUUUUAGAAAGAAAUCACAGAUGUUUUAAAUAUUAUAUUUUUCCUUUUUAAAAUUGCGACAGUCUAAUCUAAUCCAACCCUAUAUCAAGGUAUUAAUAUUCUCUCGUACUGUUCUAAACUGUGACUCUAAAACAAUCAUGUUCCAUACCAGGCACAGGCUUCUAUGACUACUAUAAGUUUACCCUUAAGUGAAAAAUAACUACUAUUGAAUACAGAAUUCUAUCACUGUUAAAACAGUUAUUUUAUUGAAUCAUAGUCAAUAUAUACUCAUUCGCCUUGUAACAAUAGUGGAGGUAACUUCAAGUUGAAAAAAGAAGAAAGUCCUAUUCUCCAGGAAUUAACAUUCUAAAAGAAAUUGUUUUCUGAAGUAAAUCUUUUUAUAAAUCAAAAUGACAGAAUUGUAAAGUCAAAGAAAUUAAAAACUUCAGAAAUGAAUAGUGGAUAUAUUAUCACUUCUCAAAUAUUCAUACUGUAAGGACCACUUAAGAAUGAAAUGGUGGAGUUCCCGUCGUGGCGCAGUGGUUAACGAAUCCGACUAGGAACCAUGAGGUUGCGGGUUCGGUCUCUGCCCUUGCUCAGUGGGUUAACGAUCCGGCGUUGCCCUGAGCUGUGGUGUAGGUUGCAGAUGCGGCUCGGAUCCCGCAUUGCUGUGGCUCUGGUGUAGGCCGGUGGCUACAGCUCCGAUUGGACCCCUAGCCUGGGAACCUCCAUAUGCCGCGGAAGCGGUCCUAAAAAAGGCAAAAAAAAAAAAAAACCAAAAAAAAAAAAAAAA
rnacentral:lncRNA from 1 species